UGAAAGAAAAUUAAAAUUCAAGGUCUGUGACUCAUGCGGCUUGCUAGUUAGGAGGGCUUUUGGGGCCUAGAGCAAAGAACAAAGGGUGUAAAGUCAUCCCAGGAAACAACUAGCCAUAAAGAUAGGGAAGACAUAUAAGAAUGCCCGGACUGGACUGGCACCUCCCUAUCUCCCACCCUUCUGACCUAAGUUAAAUGUUAACCAGAUGCUCUGUUGUUACCUCAAUCUGCACAUACAGUUUGCUGAUAUUUAAACUGUCCAAUUGUGUGAAGCCGCACCAAUUCUUCCCCUACCCCCACUCUUCCUAUAUAAACCCCUAACUUUUGAGCCUCGUGGUUGAUACCUCUGGAGAUACAUGUUGGCCUGGAGCUCCGUCAUUAAACUACCUUGUGUGUUUGCAUCAAGACUGUCUCUCGUGAUUCUUUGGGUACACACUAUCUCAUGACUCAGGUAGGGGUAUCCCCACGAAGUUCUUUCAUUUGGAGGUCCCACCAAGAUCUGCGUGACACCCUGGAACUCUGAAGACCCCUUGGAGGUACGUUUGUGUGAGUCUUGUAUGUUGUUUGUUGUCUAAGUGUGGCGCUGCUGAGAGUGUUUGAGACCGGUUUUCUGGCAGCCGCGCUGUGGCCUGUGAGGACCCAGUGGCUGUGGAAGGGCCAUAGGCUGCAACCCUGGAAGAUGUUCCACGGGUGAAAGGGGGUGGAUGUGGAAUCCACCCCGUUUGGCUGGCUGUUUAAGUCCAGACCUGGACAUGUGUGUUUAGAUGUACUAGUGUCUUGUGUCUUUGUUUUGUUUCUGUUUUUUUUUUUUUCUUUCUUUCUGAUUUUUGUUAUGGGACAGACAGUGUCAACCCCUUGUCUCUGAUUGUGGACUUGGACUGACGUUAGGACAGAAUUUGUCAGUGAUAGUUAAGAAAAACAACUGACCUGGCAGUGCUGGCUGGGCCCCACUGCGAAGAAGAGACUGUGGGAGUGGCCAGCGAGUUCCCUGGCUGCUUCUCAUACCUGCCUAAUUAUGUUUCCCCUGCAUCCCACCUGCCUGUCUCCAGGCUUUGGCAGUACCAGAGUGCCUCUUUUUAGCAGAAAAAGUGCUUUCACUUUGAGAUGUCAAUGGCCCAGCGCUCCUUUACCUGUCCCAUGUGUCUUCAUUGGCGGUUCCACUCUGAGCUGCUGGCAGUGAGUCUGUUCCAAGCUCCAGCAAGGGAGACAUCUGCCCACUUGGGGCUUCUCCUUCCCAAGGUAAGGAGCACCUGUGAGUCUAACUGCCAGGCUCUGAUGAGGGUCUCAUCUCUGUGGGGAUGAAAAGUGUCCCAACAAUCUGACCAAGGUAAUAAGAAAUUAUAGAAGUUAGAAAAAAGACAGAGCAAGUCGGUAAGAAAGUGCAGAAG
rnacentral:lncRNA from 1 species